rnacentral:rRNA from 1 species
CAGUAGCCGCGGUAAUACGAAGGGUGCAAGCGUUACUCGGAAUUACUGGGCGUAAAGCGUGCGUAGGUGGUGGUUUAAGUCCGUUGUGAAAGCCCUGGGCUCAACCUGGGAAUUGCAGUGGAUACUGGGUCACUAGAGUGUGGUAGAGGAUAGUGGAAUUUCCGGUGUAGCAGUGAAAUGCGUAGAGAUCGGAAGGAACAUCUGUGGCGAAGGCGACUAUCUGGGCCAACACUGACACUGAGGCACGAAAGCGUGGGGAGCAAACAGGAUUAGAUACCCCCGUAGUCCCUGUCUCUUAUAU